GUGCCAGCAGCCGCGGUAAUACAGAGGGUGCAAGCGUUAAUCGGAGUUACUGGGCGUAAAGGGCGCGUAGGCGGUUACUUAAGUGAGAUGUGAAAUCCCUGGGCUUAACCUAGGAACUGCAUCUCGUACUGAGUGACUGGAGUAUUGUAGAGGGUAGUGGAAUUUCCGGUGUAGCGGUGAAAUGCGUAGAGAUCGGAAGGAACACCAGUGGCGAAGGCGGCUACCUGGACAAAUACUGACGCUGAGGCGCGAGAGCGUGGGGAGCAAACAGGAUUAGAUACCCUGGUAGUCC
rnacentral:rRNA from 1 species